rnacentral:lncRNA from 1 species
GGGAAGUCAGGCCAGAUUAAGCCAUA